rnacentral:rRNA from 1 species
CCAAGCUACAAAGGGCCAACGGUGAAUGCCUUGGCACACACUACCGAUGAAGGACGUGGACGGCUGCGAAAAGCCGCGGUGAGCUGCCUAUCCAGCUUUGACCCGCGGAUGUCCGAAUGGGGAAACCCUCUAUCCGUUAUGGGAUAGAACUCUCGCCUGAACACAUAGGGCGAGUAGAGGGAACCGGGUGAAUUGAAACAUCUCAGUAACCCGAGGAAAAGAAAGCAACAGCGACACCCGUAGUAGCGGCGAGCGAACUGGGUAAAGCCUAAACCGAUGUGGUGCCAUAGCUUAGCGGCGUUGCCAUAUCGGGGUUGUGGGACAUGAUAGUGAGGGCGCUAAACCUCACACAGAGUUACAAAGUUGCUGGUUAGUGGAAGCGUCUUGGAACGGCGCGCCAAAGAGGGUAAGAGCCCCGUACACGAAAGCCAUGCAGCCUCUGUUCAUUGUUCCCGAGUAAUGCCGGAUCCGGGAAAGCCGGCAUGAAUCAGCGAGGACCACCUCGUAAGGCUAAGUAUAUGUGUGUGACCGAUAGUGAACUAGUACCGUGAGGGAAAGGUGAAAAGCACCCCGGGAGGGGAGUGAAAUAGUACCUGAAACCGUUGGUCUACAAUCAGUCAGAGCGUCGUUCAGAUUUAUCUGAGCCGCGAUGGCGUGCCUUUUGAAGAAUGAGCCAACGAGUUACGGCAUGUGGCAAGGUUAACCCGUGAGGGGAAGCCGGAGCGAAAGCGAGUCUGAACAGGGCGUUCAGUCGCGUGCCGUAGACCCGAAGCCAGGUGAUCUAUCCAUGGGCAGUGUGAAGCGGGGGUAAGACCCCGUGGAGGCGCGAACCGACCUAGGUUGAAAACUGGGCGGAUGACCUGUGGAUAGGGGUGAAAGGCCAAGCAAACCUGGUGAUAGCUGGUUCUCCGCGAAAUGCAUUUAGGUGCAGCGUCGUGUGUUUAGCCAAGGGGGUAGAGCACUGGAUGGGUACGGGGGCCUACAAGCUUACCAACCCCAACCAAACUCCGAAUACCUUGGCUCCAAAGCACGGCAGUGAGACCUCGGGGGAUGAGCUUCGAUGGUCGAGAGGGAAACAGCCCAGACCACCAGCUAAGGCCCCUAAUUCUGUACUAAGUGGUAAACGAUGUGGGAUCGCACAGACAGCCAGGAGGUUGGCUUAGAAGCAGCCACCCUUGAAAGAGUGCGUAAUAGCUCACUGGUCGAGUGAUCCUGCGCGGAUAAUGUAACGGGGCUCAAGUACAGAGCCGAAGCUGUGGAUUCGUACCUAGUACGAGUGGUAGCGGAGCGUCGAGUGUGGAGUGAAGCGGCAGGGUAACCGGUCGUGGACCGCGCUCGAGUGAGAAUGUUGGCAUGAGUAGCGAGAGAGGGGUGAGAAACCCCUCCGCCGAAAACCCAAGGGUUCCUGGGGAAGGCUAAUCCUCCCAGGGUAAGUCGGGAGCUAAGGCGAGGCCGAGAGGCGUAGUCGAUGCACAACUGGUUGAUAUUCCAGUACCAACGUGUGCGCGCCCAUACUGAAGCAAAGUUGCUAAGGGGAUGCUAGGGCCCAAUUAAACGGGCCCUUGACGAACCGACCCACUUUGUGAACGUAAGCAAUGCGGGGACGCAGGUAGGUAGGUGAACCCAGGCGAUGGUUGUCCUGGGGUAAGCGUGUAGGAGGGGGACUAGGUAAGUCCGGGCCCCAUUAACUCUGAGACGCGAUACGGAGCCGAUUUAGGCGAAGUCACUGAUCCUUUGCUGCCGAGAAAAGCCGCUAGCGAGCUCACACGUUGCCCGUACCCCAAACCAACUCAGGUGGGUAAGUAGAGAAUACUAAGGCGAUUGGGAGAACUAUGGUUAAGGAACUCGGCAAAUUGCAUCCGUAACUUCGGGAGAAGGAUGACCCCAUUAUUGUGAUGAGAUUUACUCUCUGAGCGAGAAGGGGUGGCACAAACCAGGGGGAAGCGACUGUUUACUAAAAACACAGCAGCGUGCGAAGUCGUAAGACCAUGUAUACGCUGUGACGCCUGCCCGGUGCCGGAAGGUUACGGGGAAGGGUUAGUCUUCGGACGAAGCUCUGAACCUAAGCCCCGGUAAACGGCGGCCGUAACUAUAACGGUCCUAAGGUAGCGAAAUUCCUUGUCGGGUAAGUUCCGACCUGCACGAAUGGCGUA